CUUGAGAAAGUGUCACAAAUUAACGCAGAUCCAGGGACUCCCUGUUCUAAAAAGGGCGAAACUCCAGCCUUGGCAGUGCUUUGCAGUUUCGGUGUAGAGCUGCUUCUGUACCGCCAUGAAUGGAGGUGAGACUGGCGUGCAGGAGUCUGUCACCCGUGGACAGAGGCUCGAUGAGGGACAGAAACUGUGAGCGGGUCUCUCGGUGCCCCAGGAUGGACACACACAUGGCGAAGAAACCCUCGGGAUCCUCUCGACCCUCCAGUACUUCCCCUAACCACCAUUUAACUGUGGCUUGGGCAUCAGCUCCUGAAGGAGGCAUCUUCGAGUGAAAGGAAUGUGGCCUUUUUCAAGAGCAGCCUGUGAUGUGACUGAAAAACAAAGCCAGGAGACAGGAGACGGUGUACCCAGCAGUGAAUUUUUUUUUUUUUUAAUCACAGUCUGUAUUCAGACUGUUGAAGGGUUGCUAAGUAAUUGAUUUUUUUAAUGAGACCAUGAAUAAGCUUUUGAAAGUACACAGCAGGGGACAAUGAUUUGUGACACUUGUGGAGCAAACUUUAAAAUGCUUUGUAUAGUUGAUAAGCUCCACUUGUGAUACUAUUACAGGAAUUACUCAGAAGUCUUAUUUUACUUAUACAAAAAAAAUAUUCUCAAGUGUUCGUCUAAAAUGCGACUCAAGGCUUCGCAAACAAGGACAUACGAUCUGAGUUAUUCAAAACUAUUAUGUGAAAAGUGGUGGGAGUGUAAGAAGGGAAUAUGGUGUUGAGUGCUGUGGUAUGUGAAUAGAGCAAGACCGAAAGAGAGGGAGCGGGAGAAAGAGAUUGAGAGAGAGAGAGAAUCAAUAGUGUUUAGACAGAGAAGUGGAGUCUAAGUGUGUGAUCAAUAGAGAGCAGAGAGGAGAGAUUAGCUGCUUUUCUCUUUCAAACUAACACUGACAAAUUGGUGAAUUGGUGUAUCGGCCCUUGGGCUAAACGGAUUGACCUGCUGUUUCCAUGUUCUACCGUGUACUGUCAAUAAAGAUCUGUGUUCAUUGUGGCUCUCAAUGAAGAGGGUGAAUGAAGCACCAAAAGAGAGAAAAAGGGGGAAAGGAAGGAAGGGAAAUAGAGAAGCAGAACGGGGAAAAGCAAAAGUGCAGUCCAGGUGCCCACGUAGCGCUGAUACUCGCGAAAUGUCCACACCUCUGUCUCAUUAACACACGCGUGUACUCACAUGUGCAUCCUCGUGCACAUUGUUAUAAAACCAUAAUAACGUCUCCAGGAAAAUUAAUGGAAAGACAGAUUAAAAACUAAGUGAGGAGAAACGGGCCACUAGUGUAGCUAUUUGCAACUCAUAAAUCAUUCUGACACACCCACGCGCAUGUAGACACUUGCAUAGACUCACACACGCACAUACACACAAGCACACACACGUACUGUAAUUAACCACAGGCUAUUUACUCUCUCCUGCUGUAAAUUAGACAUGCAGACACAGUUAUUACAUUAGGGGGA